ACGUGUCUGAAACGAUUCAGUCUGACUCUUCUCAGUGAACACUUGCACAAUGAAUCUUCUUUCAGUUAUUCUGUUCUGUGCUUCAACUGCUGCUGUAUUUGGAAAUGCCAUCAAACCAAACAAAACCGAUGUUUUUGCUCAGGAGGGCUCAAGUGUUACAUUAUCCUGUAGUUUUACUGCCUCUGGAGGUCAAGAUUAUCUCCUCUGGUAUCGUCAAUAUGGAAGAUCAAAACCUGAAUUUCUUGUACUCACAUACAGUAAAGCAAAAGAUGCUGAGGUGUCCGAUGUAGAUCCAAGAUUCACUGUUAAAAUUACAAGAGGGGAACAUGUGGAUCUGGAGAUCUCCUCUGCUACAGUGUCAGACUCUGCUGUGUAUUACUGUGCUCUGAGGCCCACAGUCACAGGAAACACAAGAACACUGUACAAAAACCUGUAA